rnacentral:snoRNA from 1 species
AUCCUUUUGUGGUUCAUAAAUAUGAUCAUGUUUUUUUUUUUUUUACACCAUCCUGUGAGAUGUGCCUCUCUCAAACCUUGUUACAAUGUGGGCAUAUUAUCCACCUGAUG